GGCUGUACAGGAAUAACAGUUUGGGGCCGGAAAUAGGAGUGUCUUAAACAGGCAUAUGAACUGAGAUCAGAUUGUACUACACAAGGUCCAAGAAGACUUUACCAUGUAUGCCAACAGCAAAUCGAUUCCGGUACAGCUGGCUUGGUUUGGAAACGUCACCUGGCACGAAUCUCUGUGCAAGACUGUUAUCCAGGGCACGUUAUAGGGAGGUCGACGCUGAGGCCGUCAGAAGAAAAGCUGGAUGGAUAAUGUAAGAGUGGACAUCACUUUCAAAGGAUGAAUUUCUCUAAGCAGCAAGCAACAGACCAGACUAAAGAAGGAUUUCUGUAUUGUUGCCCCUCAUUCCCCCAAACAGCUGAACUGGUCAAGGGAUUGAUGAGAAAAUGAUCACCGUGAUAUAACUUUAAUAAAUCUUGAGAAUGACUGUGAUAAAGAAUUUAUUUAAUCUAACAGUCAUAUAUUUGAAUUUGUGACCAUGCCAAUAUAUGUACUGUAUAUGAGCAUAAUC